AGCGAACGCUGGCGGCAGGCCUAACACAUGCAAGUCGAACGAAGCCUUCGGGCUUAGUGGCGGACGGGUGAGUAACACGUGGGAACGUACCUUUUGGUUCGGAAUAACGCAGAGAAAUUUGCGCUAAUACCGAAUGAGCCCUUCGGGGGAAAGAUUUAUCGCCGAAAGAUCGGCCCGCGUUGGAUUAGGUAGUUGGUGUGGUAAAGGCGCACCAAGCCUACGAUCCAUAGCUGGUCUGAGAGGAUGAUCAGCCACACUGGGACUGAGACACGGCCCAGACUGCUAUGGGAGGCAGCAGUGGGGAAUUUUGCGCAAUGGGCGAAAGACUGACGCAGCCAUGCCGCGUGAAUGAUGAAGGUCUUAGGAUUGUAAAAUUCUUUUACCAGGGACGAUAAUGACGGUACCUGGAGAAAAAGCCCCGGCUAACUUCGUGCCAGCAGCCGCCGUAAUAC
rnacentral:rRNA from 1 species